rnacentral:rRNA from 1 species
GACGAACGCUGGCGGCGUGCCUAAUACAUGCAAGUUGAGCGCUGAAGGCUGGUACUUGUACCAACUGGAUGAGCAGCAAACGGGUGAGUAACGCGUGGGGAAUCUGCCUUUGUGCGGGGGACAACAUUUGGUAACGAAUGCUAAUACCGCAUAAAAACUUUAAACACAAGUUUUUAGUUUGAAAGAUGCAAUUGCAUCACUCAAAGAUGAUCCCGCGUUGUAUUAGCUAGUUGGUGAGGUCAAGGCUCACCAAGGCGAUGAUACAUAGCCGACCGGAGAGGAGGAUCGGCCACAUUGGGACUGAGACACGGCACAAACGCAUACGGGAGGCAGCAGGAGGGAAUCUGCGGCAAGGGACGAAAGUCUGACCGAGCAACGCCGCGUGAGUGAAGAAGGUGUUCGGAUCGUAAAACUCUGUUGGUAGAGAAGAACGUUGGUGAGGGUGGAAAGCUCAUAAAGUGACGGUAACUACCCAGAAAGGGACGGCUAACUACGUG